AUUGGACGCUGGCGGCAUGCUUUACACAUGCAAGUCGAACGGCAGCGCGGGCUUCGGCCUGGCGGCGAGUGGCGAACGGGUGAGUAAUACAUCGGAACGUGCCCAGUAGUGGGGGAUAGCUCGGCGAAAGCCGGAUUAAUACCGCAUACGACCUGAGGGUGAAAGCGGGGGAUCUUCGGACCUCGCGCUAUUGGAGCGGCCGAUGGCAGAUUAGCUAGUUGGUGGGGUAAAGGCCUACCAAGGCGACGAUCUGUAGCUGGUCUGAGAGGACGACCAGCCACACUGGGACUGAGACACGGCCCAGACUCCUACGGGAGGCAGCAGUGGGGAAUUUUGGACAAUGGGCGAAAGCCUGAUCCAACAAUGCCGCGUGUGUGGUGAAGGCCUUCGGGUUGUAAAGCACUUUUGGCGGGAACGAAAAGGACUGUGCCAAUACCACGGUUCGAUGACGGUACCCGCAGAAUAAGCACCGGCUAACUACGUG
rnacentral:rRNA from 1 species